rnacentral:rRNA from 1 species
UACGAAGGGGCUAGCGUUGCUCGGAAUCACUGGGCGUAAAGGGUGCGUAGGCGGGUCUUUAAGUCAGGGGUGAAAUCCUGGAGCUCAACUCCAGAACUGCCUUUGAUACUGAAGAUCUUGAGUUCGGGAGAGGUGAGUGGAACUGCGAGUGUAGAGGUGAAAUUCGUAGAUAUUCGCAAGAACACCAGUGGCGAAGGCGGCUCACUGGCCCGAUACUGACGCUGAGGCACGAAAGCGUGGGAGCAAACAGGG